GACGAACGCUGGCGGCGUGCUUAACACAUGCAAGUCGAACGGUAAGGCCCUUCGGGGUACACGAGUGGCGAACGGGUGAGUAACACGUGGGUGAUCUGCCCUGCACUUCGGGAUAAGCCUGGGAAACUGGGUCUAAUACCGGAUAGGACCCUGGGAUGCAUGUCCUGGGGUGGAAAGCUUUUGCGGGGUGGGAUGGGCCCGCGGCCUAUCAGCUUGUUGGUGGGGUGAUGGCCUACCAAGGCGACGACGGGUAGCCGGCCUGGGAGGGGGACCGGCACCACUGGGACUGGGAUACGGCCCAGACUCCUACGGGAGGCAGCAGUGGGGAAUAUUGCACAAUGGGCGCAAGCCUGAUGCAGCGACGCCGCGUGAGGGAUGACGGCCUUCGGGUUGUAAACCUCUUUCAGCAUCGACGAAGCGAAAGUGACGGUACCUGCAGAAAAAGCACCGGCUAACUACGUGCCAGCCGCCGCGGUAA
rnacentral:rRNA from 1 species